GUUGUUAACUACUGUGGCAACACAUGCCAGAAGUCAGAUUGGAAGUUGCAUAGGGUUGAAUGCCAGGUUUUGUCCAAAGUUGACAAGGAGAGGGUAAAAUCGAUCACGCCAAGUAUAAGAUUGAUGGUUAAGCUUUAUCUCCGGAGGAAACUGCAAGAUGAGAAGGUCAUUCCAAUAACAGUCAUGGACAAUUACAAUCUGGUGGAAUCCUUGGUUUCUCAUAUGACUGGUAUUGAUGAGAAGCAACUAGUUUUGUAUGCUCAGAUGGCAAACCUUGUCAAUCUGAUUCUUCAAUGUCCCAAGAUCAAUGUAAAGGAGAUUGCAGAAAACUUUUCUAAG
rnacentral:misc_RNA from 1 species